CUCAGAUAUUUUGUCAUAGCGACAGAACAUGGAUCGGUACACUUUUUAAAUGCAGCCUUUUUUGGCUGCUCCAAAGGCCUGGGAGAUUUCGCCUGGAGCAGAGUCAGUCUCCUGUAGUGUUGAUUAUCUGCUCCUGACACAGAAUGGGGAGGGGCCCUCUGAGCUGGUUUCAACCCGGGGCUGGUUGGAUGUACCUUAUUUUUGUCAGUUUUCUAUCGUGAAGAGACACAACCACAGCAGCUCUUAUGAAGGAAAGCAUUUAAUUGGAGCUUGCUUAUAGUUUCAUCAUCAUGGCGGAGAGCAUGGCAGCAUGCAGGCAGAUGUGGUUCUGGAGAAGGAGCUGAGAGUUCAACAUCUGGAUCUUCAGGUAGCAGGAGGAGAGAGAUACUGAGCCUGGCUUGAACGCUGCUUGAAACCUCGAAGGCCACCUGCAGUGACACACUUUCUCCAACAAGGCCACGCCCACUCCGACAAAGCCACGCCUAUUCCAUCAAGGCCACACCCACCCCAGCAAAGCCACGCCCAUUCCAUCAAGGCCCCCGUCUCCGUUCUUUUAUUGUUGAUUUCCCCUUUUUUUUCUUUCAGGGCCAGAGAGUUGUAUGAGUAAAAUCCUUUUCAUAUAACUGA